rnacentral:rRNA from 1 species
GAUGAACGCUGGCGGCGUGCCUAAUACAUGCAAGUCGAGCGAACAGACGAGGAGCUUGCUCCUCUGACGUUAGCGGCGGACGGGUGAGUAACACGUGGAUAACCUACCUAUAAGACUGGGAUAACUUCGGGAAACCGGAGCUAAUACCGGAUAAUAUAUUGAACCGCAUGGUUCAAUAGUGAAAGACGGUUUUGCUGUCACUUAUAGAUGGAUCCGCGCCGCAUUAGCUAGUUGGUAAGGUAACGACUUACCAAGGCAACGAUGCGUAGCCGACCUGAGAGGCUGAUCGGCCACACUGGAACUGAGACACGGUCCAGACUCCUACGGGAGGCAGCAGUAGGGAAUCUUCCGCAAUGGGCGAAAGCCUGACGGAGCAACGCCGCGUGAGUGAUGAAGGUCUUAGGAUCGUAAAACUCUGUUAUUAGGGAAGAACAAAUGUGUAAGUAACUAUGCACGUCUUGACGGUACCUAAUCAGAAAGCCACGGCUAACUACGUG